CUAUAAUUUUUAGUAUGAAAAAUUAUAUUAGAUCUAAUUUUUAUCAUAAAAAAUUAGAGAAAAAAAGUUCUUCUUAAGAGUAUGAAAGGAAGAGAGAAAGGUUCUCUCUUAUGCAUGAAAAUUCGAGAAGAAAUAUUUCUUCUCUUGAUCUCUACUGUAGAGAUCAAAUGCAUGGAUUCAGGAAGAAAAAGAGAGGGUCUCCUUGUUCUUCAUCUUUAUGUUUUCUCUUAGAUUAGCCAAAGGAUGGUGUCUUUGCAAACUAGCACUCUCGAGG
rnacentral:lncRNA from 1 species